UACAUGCACAUAGAAAACCGGCCUAUCAAAUAAAAUUCAUUCCACUCCGGUACAGUAGGUGGCGACAUUCCCCUUUUCAUGUUGGCAAUCUUCAAGUUAGCUCAUACGGAGCCUAAAAGUCUCCUCCCUUUCCGGUUGGCUCAUGGGUCCCCGGAGGAACGAAAAAAUGAAUGCAAGUCAACGGGGCUAAAAGAGCAGUUUUCUGAUCCGCUCUGCCUUACGCCUUGGAUCACACAUAUGUUGUACUGCAAUUUAAAUGAAAAGUAAUGAUGGAUGUUUUGACCAUGCCAGUCACGUACUUAGAAAUUUAUCCGCUUGUAAAAGUUUGUAAAUAGCAUGACUACAAAUCGGACAUCUCCUCUCCCCUAGGGUAGCUGCUACUUACCACAUGGCCAGAUGUACGGUGGUUCUUUCCAUCUGAAGGAAAGAUUUGAAGUUCGCUGAACUUACAGCCAUUUUCUCUCUGUUUUCUCCGUGUCUGGUUCGACAAGGUCACUUCUGAGUACUUAAAGAGCAAGUAACGUCUAAAUUAACUUUUUUUUGCUGAUGAACUGUAUAAAUGAGUGUCUAAUAGUGUUUUAAAUGUGUGCAUUCUUUAUUUUAGCAUUUUGGUGCAUUUUCUUUAAAAAUUAAAAAUUCUGUCUAAAAACCACAGUAAUGCGCCACCUUCAGCUGAAAACAUAGAAUUUGAGUCAUUUUGAAUAAAUUUUAGCCAAUGGCUAAAGAGUAAAGUACUACGUAAACCAGUAGAGUACUACGUAGCAGCUCCGUGCCAAAGUUAUAAAAGCAACGAGAGUCUCGGCCACGCCCUGUGGCGCGUGGGAGUUGGAUUUGCAAGCGAGCGUAGGAGGUCAGCGGUAGUUCAGCAUUAGCAUAUAGCAUUAGCAUAUCCUAGUCUUAGCAUAUCUUUUAGUGUUAUAAAUACUUAUUUAGUGUUAGCUUGGCUGUUGGAUAUUGUAGUUUAGUUAGUGUUUGGCUGUUAGUGUAAUUGGGAAAGUAUUUCGGGUUUAGUGUUCAUAUCGUCUUAGUAUUGGUGAGAUGGUGUAAUGUAGUAUGCUUGCGGUGACUCUGUGGGCAUUUUACCCGCGAUUCUGCACGUCUCCGUUUGAAGAGGGAGGCUGCCCACCGUGGCUCUUCCGCGAUUUAGAUGCAGCCCACCGACUCUGCUCCCCCACCACGGCGGGCUCCAGUCUGAGGUGAGUCAGCUAAAUAAACGUUUUAACAUCUUCUAAAGACAAUUCCCUACCUAAAUGCAAAGUCUGAGAGACGUGGUUCACUUCCUUUAGCUAGUCAGUCGGCAAUUCUGCAACAGUGGCUCUAACUGACGCAGCACUAGUUGACAGACAGCAUUACAGCGUGAAAUCCAGCUUGUGACCCGGUUCUGUGAGGAAUUCUGUUCAGGAGGUCGCAUUUCAGGCUCUCCACAUCAUGUGUGACUGACUUUUACGUUAUAACAACGAUCACACACUAGGAAUGUUAUAAAGCGCCUAUAUAGGAGAUUCUUUUGUAUGUUAUCUGACUUUAUAAACUCCCAACAACAAUGUGCUUCUAUUUUUUUUUUUUCAGGCUAAAUCUACCCAAGACACUGGCUGUCAGACUGAUUUAGCUGCAAGAAUGCACUUGUCCAGGCUGAUGUGAAGCCUUCCCUGUAGCAAAGCCAGCCAGAAUGGAGUUCACAGCCGCAGUGUGUCUGGUGACCCACGGUGACCAUGAUGAAAAUUCAUCUUCCAGAAAGUCCCAGAGCGUCCAGACCCCCUGAAAAGACCAAGAUGUAAGGUGUCUGCUGUUGAUUCCAGCUUCCACCUCAGUGACAGUGCAAGCUCAGUGAACUGUUCAAGGACACUCAGCAAAAUAUGGACUCUACACCAUGAGGCAUGCACACAUUAAUACUCUAUAAGAGCACAUAAGGUGAGCAACACCACAUAUUGUACACUGUCCUGAAUUUGUUUUCUUUCUGCAUCUCAUUAGCCUGGCUGAUCACCUGAUAACUCCUGUCAUCUGGUUAUGACAGCAUGAGGAUGUCCUCACACACCUGUAACCUAUCAGCUCAUCCUGCUGAAUAGAGAGAGAAGAGACAACACCACAUCUCCUGUUCCUGGAAAGCCUUCAGCCAUCCUUCGAUGACUGAGAACCUCCAUCAGCUCUGUCUCCUGUCUGCCUACAAUUAUUAUAAUAAAUAUUGUGUUUGACAA